ACAAGUACCGUGAGGGAAAGUUGAAAACAACUCUGAAGAGAGAGUUAAAAGAGCGUGAAACCGGUGGGGUGGAAACGGAUGGAGCCGACGAGUGCGUGCCUUCAUGGGUUGUGGGUUUAUCACUCGCUGAUGUCCCCUUCCCCUCUGUUGGUGCGUUGCGAUGAGGUCCAUGAUUGUCCGCUCCAAUGCAGGGCUCCAGUGAGCAUCGCUCCGGCGUUGUCUCCUGCCCCUCUGCGGAGUGUGGUGAUUGUGGAUUUGGUGCGGGGUUCGGCCAACGGCUGUGUGGAAUUCGGCCUUGUGUUGUUCAACCGCUUGCGGGCGCUCAACCCUGGUUGUMUGCUCUCAGCUGCGUCGUCCCCCUCAGCACUCGGUGUCAUAGUCGGUCACCCAUCCGACCCGUCUUGAAACACGGACCAASAASUUUACCGCAUGCGCGAGUCAUUGGGCUACCGCGAAACCCAUAGGCGCAGAGAAAUMGAAUGGAGUGCGACCCGUGCGGCUACGGCCUAUCGGAGCAACACAGCCCUGCGGUCACCGCUCGCGGUAUCGUGGCGGCAGAGCGCAUGCGAUGAGACCCGAAAGAUGGUGAACUAUGCCUGAGCUGGCCGAAGCCAAAGGAAACUUUCCUUUCCGGCCGAAGCGGUUCUGACGUGCAACUCGAUCGUCUGACUUGGGUAUAGGGGCGAAAGACUAAUCGAACCAUCUAGUAGCUGUUCCUUCCGA
rnacentral:rRNA from 1 species